rnacentral:rRNA from 1 species
UACGUAGGGCGCGAGCGUUAAUCGGAAUUACUGGGCGUAAAGCGUGCGCAGGCGGUUUGAUAAGCCAGAUGUGAAAUCCCCGAGCUCAACUUGGGAACUGCGUUUGGAACUGGCAGACUAGAUUGCGUCAGAGGGGGGUGGAAAUCCGCGUGUAGCAGUGAAAUGCGUAGAGAUGCGGAGGAACACCGAUGGCGAAGGCAGCCCCCUGGGAUGACACUGACGCUCAUGCACGAAAGCGUGGGGAGCAAACAGG